rnacentral:sRNA from 1 species
AAUUAGAGAUUAGGAUUUUGCUUCUGUCGUAAAACAGUGUUUGUUAUCAAGGAAUAUGCUUAAAUUAACUGUAAUAAAAUAAAAUUACUGUCUUUUGAAACUUUUGCUUCUGACUGUUCAGACCUGAUUUCUAUCAUUGACAAUCAAGACGAUUGACCGACAUUCGCAGCGGAAUUGGCAUCCUAUCGCUCCUUAGUUUGUUUUUUCCUUUCUUUCCGUAUUAGAUUUUUUUCUCGUAGUUUUAACACUCGAACUGAUUGUUUAGCUAAAAAAGCUCGGGGUAGAAAUAAUAUUUUCUCCUAUGUAAGCAUAAUGGUUCAUGAAUGGCUCUCUCUAGCGGAGAAUCUCUUCCCGAUGAAUUAAUAUUAAUGGUAUUUGUGGAAAAAAUAAAUCAGUACGAGGGUGUAUAUAUAU